AGGUGAAAAGCACCCCGGAAGGGGAGUGAAAGAGAUCCUGAAACCGUGUGCCUACAAAUAGUCAGAGCCCGUUAAUGGGUGAUGGCGUGCCUUUUGUAGAAUGAACCGGCGAGUUACGAUCCCGUGCGAGGUUAAGUUGAAGAGACGGAGCCGCAGCGAAAGCGAGUCUGAAUAGGGCGUUUAGUACGUGGUCGUAGACCCGAAACCAGGUGAUCUACCCAUGUCCAGGGUGAAGUUCAGGUAACACUGAAUGGA
rnacentral:rRNA from 1 species